rnacentral:rRNA from 1 species
GAGUUUGAUCUUGGCUCAGAACGAACGGUGGCGGCGUGGAUAAGACAUGCAAGUCGAACGGGAUAUUGUUUGUAGCAAUACAAGCGAUGUUCAGUGGCGCAAGGGUGCGUAACACGUGGGCAAUCUGCCCUGGAGCGCGGGAUAGCUCGGCGAAAGUCGAAUUAAUACCGCAUGUGGCUAUUGGAAGAUUUUCCGAGACGCUAAAGAUGGCGCAAGCUAUCACUCCUGGAUGAGCCCGCGGCCUAUCAGCUAGUUGGUGAGGUAACGGCUCACCAAGGCUAUGACGGGUAGCUGGUCUGAGAGGACGACCAGCCACACUGGAACUGAGACACGGUCCAGACACCUACGGGUGGCAGCAGUCGAGAAUUUUUCUCAAUGGGGGAAACCCUGAAGGAGCGACGCCGCGUGGAGGAUGAAGGUUUUCGGAUUGUAAACUCCUGUCAUUUGGGAACAAACCUUUCAUUUAACUGAUGGAAGACUGAUAGUACCAGAAGAGGAAGAGACGGCUAAC